rnacentral:rRNA from 1 species
CCUGACUGACCGAUAGUGAACCAGUACCGUGAGGGAAAGGCGAAAAGAACCCCGGCGAGGGGAGUGAAAAAGAACCUGAAACCGUGUACGUACAAGCAGUGGGAGCCCCACCACCAAAGCAUUUGCUGUACCGCGUUGACGGAGCGAAGCGACGUCAAACCGAUAAAACAGCAGUGUAAAGUGAGCCGCAGGGCGCUUUGCGCGACAGCGCAAAGGCAGGCGGUUUCGCGUAGCGAAAGCGAAUGCUUUGGGGUGGGGUGACUGCGUACCUUUUGUAUAAUGGGUCAGCGACUUAUAUUCUGUAGCAAGGUUAACCGAAUAGGGGAGCCGGAGGGAAACCGAGUCUUAAUUGGGCGUUAAGUU